rnacentral:rRNA from 1 species
UGCAGUCGAGCGGUAGCACGGGGGAGCUUGCUCCCUGGGUGACGAGCGGCGGACGGGUGAGUAAUGUCUGGGAAACUGCCUGAUGGAGGGGGAUAACUACUGGAAACGGUAGCUAAUACCGCAUAACGUCGCAAGACCAAAGAGGGGGACCUUCGGGCCUCUUGCCAUCAGAUGUGCCCAGAUGGGAUUAGCUAGUAGGUGGGGUAACGGCUCACCUAGGCGACGAUCCCUAGCUGGUCUGAGAGGAUGACCAGCCACACUGGAACUGAGACACGGUCCAGACUCCUACGGGAGGCAGCAGUGGGGAAUAUUGCACAAUGGGCGCAAGCCUGAUGCAGCCAUGCCGCGUGUAUGAAGAAGGCCUUCGGGUUGUAAAGUACUUUCAGCGAGGAGGAAGGCGGUGAGGUUAAUAACCUCAUCGAUUGACGUUACUCGCAGAAGAAGCACCGGCUAACUCCGUGCCAGCAGCCGCGGUAAUACGGAGGGUGCAAGCGUUAAUCGGAAUUACUGGGCGUAAAGCGCACGCAGGCGGUCUGUCAAGUCGGAUGUGAAAUCCCCGGGCUCAACCUGGGAACUGCAUUCGAAACUGGCAGGCUAGAGUCUUGUAGAGGGGGGUAGAAUUCCAGGUGUAGCGGUGAAAUGCGUAGAGAUCUGGAGGAAUACCGGUGGCGAA